UCUGGGAUUACAGGUAUGAGCCACUGUACCUGGCCUUUUUCUUUCUUUUCUAUAUUUUUCCCAUUUUGUGUACUAUAGUAACAUUUUUAAUAAUGAAUAAAUUAUAUUUUAGUCCCCUCCACACCUUCCUUCCUCCCAAAAGAGGAAUUGUGAGAAUUACAAUUUACAGCCUAAUAUUUUAAAAGUCUUGUGCCAUGUAAAGUAUAAAUGAUGAAGACUGAGAAACCAUGACCUGAACUUUUACAAUGCAAUGAAAUAAAGUUUACCACACUGACAUGUUUGACAAUAUGCAUGAGGAUUGUGUAGCUGCGCAUAACCAACAGUUCUCAUAAAACACUUUGAUUGGUAUUUCUUGAAACAGCCAAACUGGCCUCUGUCAGAUGCUUGGGUAAGGGAGGCAGGAACUGGAUGGGGUGUGUGUGACUCUGUUGGCCUCAGAAGACCUCUGGAUCUAUAACCCAGGUAUGCCACUUUGCUGGCAGAGAAGGCCAGGACCUGGGAGCUCUGAGGACCUCCAGCUGACAGAUUUGCAGCCUCCAAGUGGAGCUGGUGCUGCUCAGACUUCACAAAGAAGCUUUUCACCACAACAGGAACGGCACAAACACCCCAUCCUCUCCUUUCCUUCCCUUCCCAGCCUUCUAGAUAUGGAGAGCUCAUAAGGGUCUUCUUCUGUUGCAUAGGCUGGAGUGCAGUUGUGUGACCAUAGCUUGCUGCAGCCUCUCCUGGGCCAAGAUUCUCCCGCCUUACCCUCCUAAGCAGCUGGGACUACAGGUCAUAUAUUUACAAAACUAUCAAGACUGGGAACUUGCAACCCUGAGGGACUCUCUCUAGGUAUGCAGCGUCUUCCUCACACAAGGUCUUGUUUUUAUGGAAAGAAACUUAGCAAGGAUGAAAAUAAGCAAACGGAAAAAAUGAAAAUCACUCCAAAUCGCAUCAGCCAGAGAGAACCACCAUUAACAUGUUAAUAUUACCAUUAAAGGAGUUACAGAAUCUGGGCUCAAGUCCAACCUCUCCCACUGAUGAACUUGAAUCAGUCCCUUCACUUUCCUGAGCCUUAAUAGCUCACCAGUAACAUGGGCAUGAAAACAACCUCAACGAGGAGGCUGGGCGCAGUGGCUCACACCUGUAAUCCUAAUACUUUGGGAGUCCAAGGCAGGC